UUUGACAAUAAAUUUUGAGGAAUUUAAUUUAAGUCUUGUUAUAAAUUGUGUAUCUACAACCUGUUAUGUUGUCCAUAAUGGUACAUUUGGUAUUCUAGCCCAGUGGCUCUUUUCACAAAACAAGACAUGAAUAUUCAAGUAUACUUGCUAUCAAUUUCAAUCCUCAAAUGUGAAAAGUGCUACCGAAAUAAAUGUUGGCAUUCCUAAGUUGUUUUUUAGGAGGUGAGGUUGGAAAGUUUUCUAGUUUAGUAUCUUCAUUUUUUUCAUCUUUUUCAUUUUAGAAUUAUUAAAUAUGAGCAAAUGCUUUUUUAAGUUAUCAUGUAGACAAAAGUGGGUAAAUUGAUUUUGAAUAUGAAUAUGAUUGUCAGCAAUUCUAUAAUCUUUUUUAUAUUUUUUACAACUUUUUAACAGUUUUGUUUUUCAUAUGUUACUGCUGUUAUUAACCUUGAUGUAUUUGUUUUAUAUCAGAUAAUAUAUUUGUUGUUUAUUAUCUAUUUAU
rnacentral:lncRNA from 1 species